GGGAGUAUAGCUCAGUGGUAGAGUGUAGGCCUAGCAUACACAAGUUCCUAGGUUCAAUCCCUAGAACUUCCA
rnacentral:tRNA from 1 species